rnacentral:tRNA from 1 species
GCCUGGCUGGCUCAGUCAGUGGAGCAUAUGACCCUAGAUCUUUGGGUUGUGAGUUCAAGCCCCAUGCUAGGUG